GAGGUUUACCAGGACACUGCCUGGAAUAGAGGGCCUGAGCUACAACGGGAGGGUUAGGGUUAGGCCACAUCUGGAGUGUUUUAUACAGUUGUGGUGGCUAUCAUUCUCUGAAGGAUAUCGGGGCUUUGGAGCGGGUGCAGAAGAGGUUUACCAGGACACUGCCUGGAAUAGAGGGCCUGAACUAUAACGGAAGGCUGGACAACCUUAUGUUGUUUACUCUGGAGCCGUGCCGGCUGGGGUGAGACUGAAUAGACGUUUAUAAGAUUACCAAAGGAUUAGAAACAGUGUCUCAGAAAGUCUCUGACUAACCACAUGAUCAAUGCCUCUCAUAAACUUAUAUACCUCUUUCAAGUCACCUCUCAUCCUCUGUCACUCCAAGGAGAGAAGGCCGAGUUCACUCAACCUAUUCUCAUAAGGCAUGCUCCCCAAUCCAGGCAACAUACUUUUAACUCUCUUCUGCACCCUUUCUAAGGUUUCCACAUUCUUCCUGUAGUGAGGUGACCAGAAUUGAGCACAGUGGAGUGUGACCAAGGUCCUAUAUAGCUGCAACAAAAACUCUCGGCUCCUAAACUCAACACACAAUUAAUAAAGGUCAAUGCACGGUAGACCAUAGAGUCAACCUGCAUAUCAGACUUGAGUGUCCUAUGGACUCGGAUCCCAAGAUCCCUCUGAUCCUCCACACUGUGAAGAGUCUUCCCAUUAAUGCGAAAUUCUGCCAUCAUGUUCGACCUAACAAAUUGAACAACUUCAAGCUUAUCCGGGUUGAACUCCAUUUGGGACUUCUCAGCCCAGUUUUGCAUCCUUUCAGUGUCCCACUGUGACCUCUGACAGCCCCGCACACUAUCCACAACACUCCCAACAUUUGUGUCAUCAGUAAAUUUACUAACACAUCCCUUCACUUCCUCAUCAAGGUCAUUUAUAAAAAUCACGGCGAUUAAUGGUCCCAGAUAUAAGUAUACUGUAAAUUUUUAUUAUUUUGUUUUUUUUUCUUCUAUAUCAUGUAUUACAUUGAAAUGCUGUUGCACAGUUAACAGAUUUUACACCACAUGCUGGUGAUAAUAAACGAUUAUGAAUCUGAGUGGAUAGACAAUGCUAUUGUCCUGGGGAUUGAAAUGUCUAAUACACUUAAGGUGAGACCAGAUGUAAGCGACGUUUGUGUCUUUCCACAGAGUGUUGGGAGCUGGACCCUCUGCCUGGGGUGGGAGACCCCACUAGUUACGUGAUCCUGUUUGCCCCUCCGAUUUAUCCGCAGAUGUACAAUCUCUUCACGCAUGCUCACUGUUUCCGGUUAGACAUGUGAUGAGAGAUUUAUUGGAAGAAAAUCCCCAAAUGGAAGCAAACCAUGACUGAAGACGAGUGAAACAGCCCGAGGAUUGAGAACAUCAACUGGAGAGAACCCAAAUGACUUGGAGAUUCCAUUGAUAUAGUCAGGAGAAAGUUUGGUUAAAAAUGACAAGGAAUUUGUCUAUGGAAAUUCAAACAUAGCACCCCAGUUUUGCUGUCUCGGUCUAGAUAUUUAAGAAGUGGAGCAAGGGAUUUACUCGAUCAUCCUUCCUGCUCAUACUGUGGAGAGGGAUUCACUUGGUCAUCUGACUAACUGGCACGCCCAUCAUUUUACACAGGGGAGAGGCCAUUCACCUGCUCAGACAGUGGGAGUGCAUUCACUCGGUCAUCUCAACUGAAGGAAUCCUUCUGUUUCUGGGAAGAGGUCUCCAACUCUCAGUCAGGUGCUCGAUAUUUCCUUUUCACCAUCUCAUCUGCUCAGAUCAUUGGGAUGUCUCCCAUGGAGGGUCAUACUCAUUCCACUAGUUCAUGUUUUCUUCCACAGUGAUGAUUCGUUUUUCUGAGGUAGCUUCUCAUUUAAGUUUCCUGGUCUGUAUUUCUUAUCACAAUUGCAUAUACAUAUAUGGAGUGCUGAAUCAUGUUCAAAUUCAAUUGUAAUCUAAGAUGAUGGCGCGACGGAGCUUGCAGCGGCCAUUCCGGAGCUGAUUAUCAGUUAUUUGUCAAGCGGGGUGCCGUGCGCCAUCAUAAUCGGGUGAAAAACGGACGUGGGAGCACGGAGGAACAUCUGGAAAUCUCCAGAAGACCACUUUCGUUGCUGCUGCUGCUGUGCGGUCCGGGACUCAGCUGGGAAGAACAGGCACCCAGUCUUCGGAGUCGCGUUGGCGGGGCCGUCUUAAUACGCUCGGCAGAGGAUGGUGCUCGGAGAAGCUGUGCCGGAGGGGAUGGUCUUUGGCUCGGAGGUGUGUGCUGUGUCUGCGAGGCUGAGUCGGGCGGCGCCGUGGAAGCCCUUCUGCCGCCUGCGUGGGAUGGCGAGUCUGUCGGGACCCUGGGGACUUGUGGAAACUCUGUGGUGGUUUCUGUUGAACUUAUAGUCCUUUAACAUCUUUGGACUACUUUUACUGUGCCCAUGGUCUGUUUUUUUAAUGAAUUAUGCUAUUGUUUGCACUGUUGUAACUAUGUGGUUUUGUGCAGGUCUUGUAGCUUUAGUUUUUGGUCUUGUUUUGUCUGGUAGCUUUGGAGCUCCUUUCCGGGGAACGUGCUAAGAUAGUAACGCGAUAUUAAUACGCAGCAGCCUCUCCAGACUCUGGAUUGGGGAUUGCCAAAGGUUAUGUGGAUUUUCCGGUGUAGUCUGUUUUGUCCUGUGCUUUUGUGAUAUCAUUCUGGA